rnacentral:lncRNA from 1 species
UGUUUUUUUAAAUGAACAUGUCAAACCGCCAUCUAUGUAUUUGCUUCUACUCCGUGGACAGCAGCGAAUGCAGACUCACAACUGGUCAAGGUGCUAAGGAAAAAUAACAGUUGAGCAAUCAGCCCUGAAUGGGCCCGAAGGCUCGGGACAUAUCAGGGACGAGGGCGUGGGAAGAAUGUGAAGAAGUCGAGAACGGGGACCAGAGCUGUCUCCGGGGCACGGUGUGGCUGUUGCAUUUAUAAACUCCUAUCAGCUAUGGUUCCCUACACAAGAUCUAUAGUCAGCAUCCCAGCAUAGAGGGGAGCUGGGGUCAGGAUGCUCCACCCACAGGUGAGGAACUGUUUGCAAACCAUGGACGACUGCCUGAAGAGGGGUCCUUUCUCCUCAUGCUACGUUACCCACUUUGAGAUUUUCAUUUUAUAUGAGGUGACAUGCAGGAGAAGUAACUGAAGAAAGUCAACUCCUUGAUAGCUAUCCUGAAUGAGCGGAGAGUUACCUGAACCAUCGUACCUGGUUCACAUACCAUGUGAGGAGACUGCUUGCCUAAAGUCCUAUCAAAAUGCUAC